rnacentral:rRNA from 1 species
UUGUGUCUUCGAGUCGUUGAUUUCACACUGCCGAGAAAAGCCUCUAGAUAGAAAAUAGGUGCCCGUACCGCAAACCGACACAGGUAGUCAAGAUGAGAAUUCUAAGGUGAGCGAGCGAACUCUCGUUAAGGAACUCGGCAAAAUGACCCCGUAACUUCGGGAGAAGGGGUGCUCUUUAGGGUUAACGCCCAGAAGAGCCGCAGUGAAUAGGCCCAAGCGACUGUUUAUCAAAAACACAGGUCUCUGCUAAACCGUAAGGUGAUGUAUAGGGGCUGACGCCUGCCCGGUGCUGGAAGGUUAAGAGGAGUGGUUAGCUUCUGCGAAGCUACGAAUCGAAGCCCCAGUAAACGGCGGCCGUAACUAUAACGGUCCUAAGGUAGCGAAAUUCCUUGUCGGGUAAGUUCCGACCCGCACGAAAGGCGUAACGAUUUGGGCACUGUCUCAACGAGAGACUCGGUGAAAUCAUAGUACCUGUGAAGAUGCAGGUUACCCGCGACAGGACGGAAAGACCCCGUGGAGCUUUACUGUAGCCUGAUAUUGAAAUUCGGCACAGCUUGUACAGGAUAGGUAGGAGCCUUUGAAACGUGAGCGCUAGCUUACGUGGAGGCGCUGGUGGGAUACUACCCUAGCUGUGUUGGCUUUCUAACCCGCACCACUUAUCGUGGUGGGAGACAGUGUCAGGCGGGCAGUUUGACUGGGGCGGUCGCCUCCUAAAAGGUAACGGAGGCGCUCAAAGGUUCCCUCAGAAUGGUUGGAAAUCAUUCAUAGAGUGUAAAGGCAUAAGGGAGCUUGACUGCGAGACCUACAAGUCGAGCAGGGUCGAAAGACGGACUUAGUGAUCCGGUGGUUCCGCAUGGAAGGGCCAUCGCUCAACGGAUAAAAGCUACCCCGGGGAUAACAGGCUUAUCUCCCCCAAGAGUUCACAUCGACGGGGAGGUUUGGCACCUCGAUGUCGGCUCAUCGCAUCCUGGGGCUGUAGUCGGUCCCAAGGGUUGGGCUGUUCGCCCAUUAAAGCGGUACGCGAGCUGGGUUCAGAACGUCGUGAGACAGUUCGGUCCCUAUCCGUCGUGGGCGUAGGAAAUUUGAGAGGAGCUGUCCUUAGUACGAGAGGACCGGGAUGGACAUACCUCUGGUGUACCAGUUGUCGUGCCAACGGCAUAGCUGGGUAGCUAUGUGUGGACGGGAUAAGUGCUGAAAGCAUCUAAGCAUGAAGCCCCCCUCAAGAUGAGAUUUCCCAACUUCGGUUAUAAGAUCCCUCAAAGAUGAU